rnacentral:lncRNA from 1 species
CAUUUACCAAGUGAUCCAAAAAGCUGUUAGUUUACAGUGGGGCCCAGAACAAAGGAAAACUCCCCAACAGGACCAGGCUGCUGUGCAAGCUGAUGUGCCACUUGGGCCACAUGAUCCAACAAAUCUAAUGGUGCCUCAGGUGUCAGUAGCAGAGAGGGAUGCUGUUUGGAGCCUUUGGCAGGGCCCAGCAGAGGAACUUGCUAUGUUUCCUAGGCUGUUCUUGAACUCCUAGGCAGUUGGUUUGUCUGGGUAUCCAUUGAUGCACACUUGGGUUGUUUCCAAUUCUGAGGUGGUUAUGAAUAAAACUGCUAUGAACAUUCACAUUCGGGUCUUUUUGUAGAUACAUGUCUUUGUUUGUCAUGGAUAGAUACUCAGGAGUGGUAUUGAUGGGUCGUUUAAACAAUUACUUUAAAAUGGUAUCUUUACAUGGAAUAGUUUUGCCUCUUGAUUGUGGUGGUGGUGACACAAAUCUAAAUGUGUGAUAAAAUGGUAAAAACACGCACAUAAUGAAUGCAUGGAAAACUACUGAUAUCUGAAAGAAGUUGGU